UACGAAGGGGGCUAGCGUUGUUCGGAAUUACUGGGCGUAAAGCGCGUGUAGGCGGCUUCUUAAGUCUGGUGUGAAAGCCCGGGGCUCACCCCCGGAAGUGCAUUGGAUACUGGGAAGCUAGAGUACCGGAGAGGAAGGUGGAAUACUUGGUGUAGCAGUGAAAUGCGUAGAUAUCAAGUGGAACACCAGUGGCGAAGGCAGGUCUCUGGGCCACUACUGACGCUGAGAAGCGAAAGCAUGGGGAGCGAACAGG
rnacentral:rRNA from 1 species